rnacentral:misc_RNA from 2 species
AACGCACAUUGCGCCCGCCAGUAUUCUGGCGGGCAUGCCUGUUCGAGCGUCAUUACAACCCUCAAGCCCCCCGGCUUGGUGUUGGGGACCGGCCACCGGUGCCCUGCUGCUUCCGCGGCAGGCGCACCCGGCCGCCCCCGAAAUGAAUUGGCGGCCCCGUCGCGGCCUCCCUCUGCGUAGUAGCACACAUCUCGCAGCUGGAGCGCGGCGCGGCCACUGCCGUAAAACGCACCAACUUUUUUUACAGUUGACCUCGAAUCAGGUAGGAAUACCCGCUGAACUUAA